CUAAGCUGCUACUCCUAGCAACAGUUACAAGCUUGAGCUGGGCUUCAGGACACAGUCAUCCUAGUCAAUCUGGAAUUUCUAAAUACCUAUUUUACACUGAUAUUCAUAAAGCACAAAUUACUAUGGGGAAACCACACUCAUGUCAUUUCUAUCAUAACUACAACAAGAUCCUGAAAUCGAAGCUCUUGGCUUUAAAAACUCGACAAACAUCAUAUAAAACACCAAGACUACAUAUCAGUGUUUCUUACAAAAUAGCAUCCUGAAUUGCAACUCUGACUUAUAGGCACAGUGUUGUAAAACCGCACAUCUAUCCUUUCUCCCCCACCCCCCAAAAGCGUAGCCUGCUGUGUGACAAGGGACAGAAAAAGUCAGUUCCAGCCAUUCCCUCCAGCACACCAGAGCUUGGCACGUGAAGGGACCCCGGGCCGCGGUGGGCAGGGCCGCGGGUGCUGAGGGCAGGCCACUGCAGCAGGUGCUGGAGAGCAGCGAAAUGGUGCUGACGUCACCACGGUCAGUGCGCUCAGUUUGCUUCACAAGCCAUGAAGUCACAGUUUCGAUCUGUCACCGAAUUCCACCACCCUUGGGUGUCACCUAGACCACGUCAACGACCAAACUCUUGUGAUCACUGCUGACAUUAAAACAUCCUCCCAAGGGCCUGUGCACAUCCUCUUAUUUCCUGCCUCUGUCUUCACCUGGCUGCUGUCAGUUGCUGCGCUGGCAUCCAUCUCUCCUUUCUCGUUAAAAGCAAGUCUGGCUGCUACAACAGAGACUUAUCCUGUGGUGUAGCAUGAAUGCCCUGAAGGACUGAUGCUCACGCUCAAAAUCACACACCUAACCGAGUCCACCUGUUGGGUGGUUUUUAGACCACAUGGAGAAGCUGCUGGAAAACUGGCCCCAAGAGGGGGGUUCCCUGCUCUCCAGCCUCACCGUGAGGACUGCUCAGGCCCUCCACAUGUCACACAUCACACCUCAAGUGACUCUCCUGCCACUUCUCCAGACACCACCGAAGCGCUCUAGUGUCCCGGCACUGAGACCCAUGAGCAGAAAA